rnacentral:rRNA from 1 species
UGGGGAAUAUUGUACAAUGGGGGAAACCCUGAUGCAGCGACGCCGCGUGAACGAAGAAGGUAUUCGUAUCGUAAAGUUCUGUCCUAUGGGAAGAUAAUGACAGUACCAUAGAAGAAAGCUCCGGCUAAAUACGUGCCAGCAGCCGCGGUAAUACGUAUGGAGCGAGCGUUGUCCGGAAUUAUUGGGCGUAAAGGGUACGCAGGCGGUUUAAUAAGUCGAAUGUUAAAGAUCGGGGCUCAACCCCGUAAAGCAUUGGAAACUGAUAAACUUGAGUAGUGGAGAGGAAAGUGGAAUUCCUAGUGUAGUGGUGAAAUACGUAGAUAUUAGGAGGAAUACCAGUAGCGAAGGCGACUUUCUGGACACAAACUGACGCUGAGGUACGAAAGCGUGGGGAGCAAACAGG